GGGGGUUUAGCUCAGUGGUAGAGCACUUGCCUAGCAAGCGCAAGGCCCUGGGUUCAGUCCCCA
rnacentral:tRNA from 1 species